AUGAAAACAACUUUGGAGCCCAUAGAUUUUUCCAACACUGGUGAUGCUGUACCCGCAGUCUGUGCUUCUCGCCUUGAAAUUAUGCAGCCAUCACAGGGAACGUCCAGAUUGAACAUGCACGCACCACGUUGUUCCGGUCUGUGCCUUCCUCACCACCCGCCCCUGUUCUUGGUUUUCCAGUCUGGGAACUAACAGAGGGGCCAGUCACGGGUGACAUCCAGAAUAUUCCUACUUUUCUGUGAUCUUUUACACUACUUCAGUACGUUACCAUUUUUAAGAGUUUGGGUCUCUUUAGAAAUUGCACUUUUUGGAGAGUUUGAAUCAGAAUCAUCAAAAAAAUCUACUGUGUCCUUGUCUUGAGUAAGAAUGUUACCUCAACUAUUUGUACAUGAAUGACGUCAGAACAACUUCAAGAACCAUUUCCAUUAUAUCCUUCAGUAAAGCUAAUCAACUAUUUGCGAGAGUGAUGAUUUGAUGUAAAAUGUGAUUUCAUUUAUAUAAUAAAAAAU
rnacentral:lncRNA from 1 species